AUGCAUCUAUUUGACAGACCUGGAGCAGUUACUGUCUGCUUCUAAGGUUUCCACUACGAUGCAAGAAAAAAGUUCCUUGCGCUUUCUGUCUGUCUGCUUGUGGCAGCCAAGAUUGAAUAGGGGAAAACAGGA